UGGGAGGGCAACAGAUUGUUCAUCACAUCAGGAGUUUCUUCAUCCUGAAAGACAAUUCUUUCAGCUUAAAUCAAAUCAUCAACUACCUUUUUGAGGGUCCAACAGUCCUCAGUACUGUGUCCCACUGCUCUAAAGUGGUAUUCACAUAUGGCAUCAGCUCGGUGUGAGGAGGACUCGGGAUUUGGCCGGUUUGGGGCCACUAGCUGCAAUAGAUUUAGCAUGAUUAGCUUUUGGAACAAGCUUGAAUAUGAUUCACCAAUAGGGGUGAACUGAUUCUUUCUGAAAGGUUCUCUUGGGCGAAGAUUGUACUGGGGAGAAUUUCGUUAGGUAUUAUAUGGACACUACUAGAAAUAAGGCCUAUGGCAACCGUUCUAAAACCGCUGCAGUAAAUACACUAACCGACCCUAUAGAGCUACUAGGACGAUUCAGCACUCGUUCCCGAAUUCGGUGUUACCAUAGGUCUAUUAGAAUGGUUAUGUGGAACGGUUAUAAAACCGUCCCCAUAUAUAGAUAUUGUAACGGUAAUGAACCCGUUACAUCAAUCUGUGGAACAGUUUUUAUUCUAUUGGGACGAUUAUAAACCGUUCUGGUAUAUUUGUGCCAACGAUAUUAUAAGGCUAUCGCAACGGGUUUUAUAAUAAUAUAUUGUAACGGUUUUCUUGAUCUAUUGCAACAAUUAUCUAUAGUAUAUUGCAACAGUUAUUAGGGGCUGGGCUNNNNNNNNNNNNNNNNNNNNNNNNNCCAGAAUAAGGAAUAUUUCACAUGCAACAAAAUUUUAUACACCAUAACUAAUAUAAACUACAAAAUAACACUGAAAUAUCAAACUAGCAUUAUCUAUAUACAAAAACAAAGUAUGAAUACAUUGUUUGAUCAACAAUUCUAAGUUGAAAUAGAUGAGUUUGCAUAAAAAAGUUCUAAACUAAAAUAUUCUGGAACAUAAUGAGAAAGUCUAGCAACGAUCAACAACACUCAAGUAAGGUAUUCAUCACUACUUUCAUCUGCAAUCGCUGCACCUACAAAUGAUGAUCCGUAAAUGAUUAAACAAAUAAAAUUUUAAGAUAUUUGAAUCACAAAGCAAUUGAUUCGUUAUCAAAGCUUUACCUAACAAAGUUGAACCCUAUUUACUGUCACAAUUCCUUAAAACAACAAGCUAAAAUACAAGCAACCCAUUUGGAGAGUAAAGAGGCUAACAACAGAUGAAUACUUGUAAUAAAUUAUAAGGUCAUUGUAUAUAAGUUGUCUCUGUAUAUGUUAUUAAUUCAGCAGCUAGAGUACUAUAUGUUACCUUUCAGAAUAUUUCUCUUGUUGAUCAGAUGCCUAAAGCUAUUAUUCAUUUUCAACAAGAGUACUAUAUGUUUAUCCAUUUUCAACAAGCAACUAGAGUAUCAUAGAAAGAUAUGGUAUAUCCAUUUCAACAGCAAGCAGAUGCCUAAACAUUUUCUGUCGAAAACAUUCUAUAUGCUAUCAAACAGAAAGAUAUAUGAUUUUGUAGUCAAAGUCAGAUUUUGUAGAUUUGAAAUUUUGGAAUUUAGCUAAAACGGAAGUGCGGAAUUAUGGGUGAAGAAAGGCUACAUUGCUUACUCCUAGUAACAAUACUGUAGCAUGUAAAAUGGGUGAAGAUCAGACGAUAAAUGAGAUAAAAGAGUUCCAAAUAUGUGUAUUAUUCAUCAUUAAAAAGAAACAAUGCUUUCAUAUCUGGUUUCUUGUAAGUUUAAGCACUGUACAUCAUGUUCCUCUAACCUUAUGAACAACUAAGAGAUUCGUUCUAGGAGAAGGAAGACUAGUUAAAGUAACAAGCCUCCCAGGUGAAGUACUUCCUAGACAACUGCCUAUUGGAGAGUAGAUCCAAAAGCCGCCCUUGCCACGAUGUGCUCAGUGUGAAGCGUGCGCUUUUUUCAUCUGAAGCGCAAUUUAAUACAUUAAGCAAGUGUUUCAAUUCUUAAAUUAAGAAGUAAAUAAUAGAAUGUAUUUGCAAAUCUCAAGGCUUUCUUCAAUUUCUCUUCAUCCUACACAAGCACAGUGAAUCACAAUUACUCUCUUAGUUACUCUCUUAUCUGCCUCUCUCUAUUCCUUGUUUUCUCAUUUCUAUUCUCUCCUUGAUUCACCCUUUCCAGAGCAAGGUACUUUUUUAUGCACUUUAAUUUUCUUUCAUUGUCACGUACAAACCUAUGGCAACACUACAUCUCUGUAUUAUAUACCUUAUAUCUUAUAGCUUAUAAUUAAGCAUCUUUCGUUGAUUUUAAUUUACAACUGUAUAUUUUUAUAUUAUGGAUCUCAGCUGUAAUGUUAUUACAUCUUUUCCUAAUUUGGUUUUGCUAGGUUUAGUUUGGAAAACAAUGCGCUUGUUUGAAUUUUUUUUCCAGAAGAGUUGGCUUUAAAAGCAGUUGAAAACAGAAAAAGUAUUAGUAAUAGGUUAAGGCUGAAUAAAUAACUCUUUUGACCAGCCUCAUAAUUAACUACUGCCAUCAUCUUGAGGUCAACAGUUUACUUUAUUAAUAAUUUCUAUAUGAAUAUUAGACAAAAAUACAAUCAAGAAAGUGGAUGAGUGAUGUGCUUAAAGAUAUAGCACAGAUAGUUAAGCCAUCUAUUGCUACUGCUGGGGGUGCAAAUUUGCAAUAUCAUUUUUUUUAAAUAACUUUUUAAUUACUACCUUGAUAUUCUUUCCACCAUUCUAAAUGAAUCAAAUCAGAAACACCGUCUCACACAGACUAGAUAGUCAAUAAUCCUCAAAAGUCGCAACAUAUUAAGCAAAUGCAAAACCAAAUUACAAAAGGAGCAACAUCCUAUUCUUCAACAACUAAAAAAAAAAGAACUGUGACAAUAGGGCAGAACAGUGAACAGCAGAAAAAUAGAGCAGAAGCAUAGUGAAAAGCAGAAAUUCUAAAAAAACAAUAGAGCAGAACCCUAAAAGAUAAACAAGGCAAGAUAGAAAAGAAGAACUAGCAAAAAUAGAAAGGAAAGAGAAAAGAUGAGAGGAGUCAAACAGUAGCAGAGAAUAUCAGAAGAGGAAGAGAAGAGAAACUUACCUGCUUCAGGGCAGAAAAGUGUAGACCCCUCGCCUCGCCUCGCUUCUGCGCCUUAAGCGAGAAGCGCUCGCUUUUAAUAACACUGCUUUAAACAUGAGACUCUUAGGAGCUUUCAGGAUUAAUAUAGUAUUCAAGAAGCAUAAAUAUUUAAAUCAACUACUCUACAUACGACUACCACAUAAGAAACUAAGAAAUGGCAUCGAACGCUACUACUUUACACAUAACUAACGCAUAGGAAGCUAAAAAAAGUAUCAACGAGAAACUAACCAAUUUGCAAAGCUCCGAAUUAAUAAGAAAACCAUAAAUCCAAAUACCGAUAAACGAACAGAGCUUGGGCAGCUGUAAAUAAGCCAAACAAACUUCAGAAUACUCAAUGAUAAAAAAUUUGAACGAUAGCAACAAGAAACCAAUACUCGAAUAUUCACGUACCAUGAUCGCAAGAACCUCUAAAGAUUCUAAGCAAUAUACUCGUAUCGAGUGAAAUAAAAGAAACCAAACGUUGUCUUAGCUUACAGCUAGCAAAGCAGUAGCUGAAAAGCAGUGAAUAUGGUAUAUCCUAGUAAUAUUACAAUAGUGAUGAAGAGCAGUGGUCAAAAAGCCAUCCCCAUUGCCUUAACAGUAGUAGUAUUUAUAGCUAAAUUUGCUAAAAAUUAGUAUUUUAUAGAACCAAUUGGCAGAAAUUGGAGGCCACAACUUUUGAGAAGUAAAUGGAGAAAGAAAGGAAAGAAUGAUUUCUUAAACCCUGUUGCUUGGACUAUCAUGCAAGAGUUUCAACCAUUUGACAGAUAAGGUGGUGAAAACUUAAUUAAUUAAUUAACCAUAAAGUAUAGCAUUUCUGUGCACAUUCAUGGGUUAGACCAUAAGUCUUUCUUUGAACUAAACCAACCGUAAUUCUUCAAAUGCAUAAAUUAGAAAACCAUGUAAACAAUAUCAACCAUCUUUCCUAUCCUUGAUUAACAUAUAUAGAAUCCAAUAUUCACCUCCACAAAGUGAUGGUCACAUGCACUAAAAAGUAUACUGCUACUCUACAUCAUAGAAGUUUUGAUUCCUCAUAAACAAUUCAUGACAAAAGAAUAAAUGAAGAUCUACUUCGAGGUAUUUCCUUGUAACAUAAAUAACAAAGAAAACCAUUGCCUUAUUAAAAAUUGGCAAACUCAGAAGAAAGGCUGAAACAUUUCUAGGGAAAAAUUGGCAAACUCCAAAGUAUACUCCACGAGCCAUUGCAUCAAUAGCAUUUGUCAACAAAAUUUACUCCAUGCAUUCCCACGUAUAAUACAGAAUAAUGAUUUUCAGAAUAACGAACAAGACAGCGAACAUCGACCAUCGAUAGGAAACAUCGUACAAGGGGAAAUUCUCAUGGUUUCUAACACAAAAUCAAAACCUAACAAAUAAGUCCCCCAAUUUCGAAAACAAAAAAUUAGAAAAUAUAUCGUAUAAUAGAAACAAAACAGAAGCAAAAUAAUGGGUUUAUCAGAAAUAUUAUCAAAGAAAGAAAAUAGAAGGAGCAAUGAAAUAAUUUUUCAGACCAGGGAAGAACAAAGCGAAAAUCGAACAGUGAUAGCAAACAUCGAACAGGGUAAAACACCGAUAGCCUACCUCGGAGAUUGCCGUAUGUUAGCCGAUAAUGGUCAUCCUUCACCGGAAGUUAUCGUCCUUCACUGGAGCUGGUCGACAGAGUUUGUCGGUGUGUUCUAGGUUGAUGAAUAGAGAGAGAGGUAUUUGAGAUUUUGGGGGAGUCGCUAGCUGAAGUCGAU
rnacentral:lncRNA from 1 species